GAAAUUUCAAUUUCAUUGAUUUUUCGAAAUCAUAGAUUUAAGAAACAUUAUAAACUACAUGCAAACUGAUUUAUAAAGCAUAAACAAGACAAAAUCAUGAUAAAUAAGAUCAAAUGUCAAAAGGCAAAAAUUAUGAACCCGGGGAAGCGGCUCCAUAAGUUGUUUCUCCGAUUCCAACGUCGGCGACGCUGCGCUCCUCAUCUCAUUCCGUGUCACUGCUCAUCCAAGGGGAAAUGUUGUAUUACCUAGCAAAUUAACUUUGUGAGACAAUUUCUUCACUUUAAACGCAUCUACCAAUAUUUUCUUAAAACCCAUGUCCCUCCUAUCUACACCACUUUUUGUGGACUUUUUUAUUAAUGGCUAGAAUAUAUAUCUCCUUCAUCAAAUUGGUUACUUUUAGAGUUUUCCCUAAUCAAAAUAAACAACCAAAUUAUCUAUCCAACAUGAACAGUUUUAGAAGAGCAGUUGUAAAAUAUCAUCACCUUUCACCAUGGGAUACUUUUACGAAAGAUAAAGAUUCAUUGGCCAUUACAUUCCGGUUAAAUUACAAAGCACAGGAGCAUCAAUCUAUCCAACUCAGAAAUGGCAGAUUAGACGACCAGAAACCUUCUCUUCAUCUUUUCAAUGAGUAUAGUACGCUGAAAAGCAACGAUAUCGAGUUGCUGGAAGCAUUGUCCAUGAACUGUAUAACUGUAUCAACCGGCAUUAUCAACUCCAGUGAAGAUGCCUGCCUACAGCUACUUUCUCAAAGCUCCAUAGUUUCUUGUUACCUACAAUCAAAGUUUUAGGCUCAACUCCUGUCGUUCGAGUAUGAAAAUCCAAAAAGUGGGAUGGGACUCCAGUAAAUUAGCUGAUGUGGUU
rnacentral:lncRNA from 1 species